rfam:Ovis aries breed Texel chromosome 13, whole genome shotgun sequence.
UCCCUGGUGGUCCAGUGGCUAAGACUCCACAUUCCCAAUGCAGGGUGCCUGGGUUCAAUUCCUAGUUGGGGAA